rnacentral:lncRNA from 1 species
UAUCAGUAUCAGACUUUAGUUUUCGGGGUCUCCCUCUGCCUCGAGGCUUAGAUGAUGGCUGUUGCUCAUCUUGAUGCUGAGGAUCUUUGUUCACAGGUGCUUUUGGUUUAGGAGAUCUUUCCAUGCUAGAAAGGUCAAGCUGCUGCUCUGGAUCUUUGUGCCAUUCAAGAAAAGCAGGUGAUUCAACAUAAUGUAACUUGGCUUCCAUUUGUUGAUUAGAGAUAAUCAUAUCAGUAUCAGACUUUAGUUUACGGGGUCUCCCUCUGCCUCGAGGCUUAGAUGAUGGCUGUUGCUCAGGAUCUUUGUUCACAGGUGCUUUUGGUUUAGGAGAUCUUUCCAUGCUAGAAAGGUCAAGCUGCUGCUCUGGAUCUUUGUGCCAUUCAAGAAAAGCAGGUGAUUCAACAGAAUGUAAUUUGGCUUUCAUUUGUUGAUUAGAGAGAAUCAUAUCAGUACUAGACUUUAGUUUACGGGGUCUUCCUCUGCCUCGAGGCUUAGAUGAUGGCUGUUGCUCAUCUUGAUGCUGAGGAUCUUUGUUCACAGGUGCUUUUGGUUUAGGAGAUCUUUCCAUGCUAGAAAGGUCAAGCUGCUGCUCUGAAUCUUUGUGCCAUUCAAGAAAAGAAGGUGAUUCAACAGAAUGUAAUUUGGCUUCCAUUUGUUGAUUAGAGAGAAUCUGUGGGUGAGGAUGCUGCUCUGACAAUAGAUCACAAAUAAGUUCCUUCUGUUCACAAGGGCUUGUAAU